UACGUAGGUGGAGAGCGUUGUCCGGAUUUACUGGGCGUAAAGAGCGCGCAGGCGGUCGUACAAGUCGCGUGUGAAAGCCCCCGGCUCAACUGGGGAGGGUCACGCGAUACUGUUCGACUCGAAGGCAGGAGAGGGUAGUGGAAUUCCCGGUGUAGUGGUGAAAUGCGUAGAUAUCGGGAGGAACACCAGUGGCGAAGGCGACUACCUGGCCUGUUCUUGACGCUGAGGCGCGAAAGCUAGGGGAGCAAACGGG
rnacentral:rRNA from 1 species